CUCCAGACUCCUACGGGAGGCAGCAGUGGGGAAUAUUGCACAAUGGGGGAAACCCUGAUGCAGCGACGCCGCGUGAGUGAAGAAGUAUUUCGGUAUGUAAAGCUCUCUCAGCAGGGAAGAAGUUGACGGUACCUGAGUAAGAAGCCCCGGCUAACUACGUGCCAGCAGCCGCGGUAAUACGUAGGGGGCAAGCGUUAUCCGGAUUUACUGGGUGUAAAGGGAGCGUAGACGGCAGUGCAAGUCUGAAGUGAAGGCCCCGGGCUUAACCCGGGAAUUGCUUUGGAAACUGUACGGCUGGAGUGCCGGAGAGGUAAGCGGAAUUCCUAGUGUAGCGGUGAAAUGCGUAGAUAUUAGGAGGAACACCAGUGGCGAAGGCGGCUUACUGGACAGUAACUGACGUUGAGGCUCGAAAGCGUGGGGAGCAAACAGGAUUAGAUACCCCGGUAAAU
rnacentral:rRNA from 1 species